ACUAGAAUAUGACAUCCACGGGACUCUCACAACGAACUUGAUCGCGCGUGACCGGAAUCAGAAGCGUGACGCAUCGAUUCUGUCAAUAUAUAAACAGUGGUACAGGUCAUCGAUUUGUACAGACUUUUGGAGUACGCAAAGGACUUGUACUUAUCCCCGAAGUGUUAUCGCAUUAUGAUGAAGGGGUUACUAUUGUGCUUGCUAGUUUUCAUCAUCGUUGAGAUGGUAUCUGCCUAUCCUUGGCCGUCUUGGGGGCCUAACCCGUGGGCACGGUCUCAAUACCCUUCUCCGUGGAACCCUUGGAGUCCACAGGCGUACUUUGCUAGGGAAUUCUACGAUGAAAUUUUUGAUUAAGAGAAACAUUUGAUUCCCAUAAGCUACUUCCAGCGUGACGUCAUUCUUAACUGAAUGGAAAUUUCGUAUAACCUUGUUUCUAUUAUUUGUAAAAUAGACAGCAGUCAUAAAUAAAUUGCCAUUAAAACAGUGUUUU